AUGUGCCCUGAUUCCCCUUCACCUUCAAUUGUAUGUUUCCUGAGGAUUACACAGCCAUGCAGAACUACAGAGUCCCGCUCUGUCACCAGGCUGGAGUGCAGUGGUGUGAUCUCAGCUCAGUGCAACCUUGGCCUCCUGGGUGCAAGUGAUUCUCCUGCCUUAGCCACCCAAACAGCUGGGACUACAGGUUUUGAGACAAGCAGCAUAGGCUUCUGUUCUGCCGUCUUGCUCCACCCUGCCAAGAUAUUAUUUCAGAAGAGUCAAAGACUAAAAGGCGGGCCACGCGCGGUGGCUCAAGCCUAUAAUCCCAGCACUUUGGGAGGCCGAGGCGGGUGGAUCACGAGGUCAAGAGAUCGAGACCAUCCUGGUCAACAUGGUGAGACACCAUCUCUACUAAAAAUACAAAAAAUUAGCUGGGCACUUUACGAAAGAAGACAUAUAUGA
rnacentral:lncRNA from 1 species